rnacentral:rRNA from 1 species
AUGGCGGCACCUCUCCUGCUCCUCGUCGCGCUGCUGGCCGCCUCCGCACCCCGCCGCGCCGACGGCUGGGGCAAGGAGGGCCACAUCAUGGUCUGCAAGAUCGCCGAGAAGUACCUGUCGGAGGAGGCGGCGGCGGCGGUGCAGGAGCUGCUGCCGGAGUCGGCCGGCGGAGAGCUGUCGACGAUGUGCCCGUGGGCGGACACCAUGCGCUUCCGGUACCACUGGGCCAGCCCGCUCCACUACGCCAACACGCCCAACGUCUGCAACUUCAAGUCCUCACGGGACUGCCACAACUCUCGCGGGCAACAGGGGAUGUGCGUCGUCGGGGCCAUCAACAACUACACGGACCAGCUCUACACCUACGGGGAUUCUCCCAAGAGUUCAUACAACCUGACGGAGAGCCUGAUGUUCCUGGCGCACUUCGUGGGCGACGUGCACCAGCCGCUGCACGUCGGCUACGAGGAGGACGAGGGCGGCAACACCAUCAUGGUGCGCUGGUACCGCAGGAAGGCCAACCUCCACCACGUGUGGGACGUUAGCAUCAUCGACACGGUGAUGAAGGACUUCUACAACAAGAGCCUGGACACCAUGGUGGGCGCCCUCCAGACGAACCUCACGGAAGGAUGGUCCGACGAUGUCGGCCACUGGGAGAACUGCGCCAACAAAAGGGCGACCUGCGCAAGUUGCAGCUACGCGAUCGAGAGCAUACACUUGUCCUGCAACUACGCCUACAAGGAUGUGGUGCAGAACAUUACCCUCGGAGAUGAUUAUUACUUCACCCGCUACCCGGUCGUGGAGAAGAGACUAGCACAGGCCGGCGUCAGACUCGCGCUGAUACUCAACCGUAUAUUUGACAAGAAGAAAGCAGAUACCAUGCCGUUAUACGUACAGUAA